AGACGAACCGUCCAAACGUUAUUCGGAAUCACUGGGCUUAAAGGGUGCGUAGGCGGCUCUGCAAGUUGGGUGUGAAAGCCCUCGGCUCAACCGAGGAACUGCGCCCAAAACUGUGGGGCUUGAGGGAGACAGAGGUGAGCGGAACUUAGGGUGGAGCGGUGAAAUGCGUUGAGAUCCUAAGGAACACCAGUAGCGAAAGCGGCUCACUGGGUCUCUUCUGACGCUGAGGCACGAAAGCUAGGGGAGCGAAGAGGAUUAGAUACCCUCGUAGUCCUAGCUGUAAACGAUGAGCACUGAUGUGGAGGCUCCUCCAUAGGCUUCCAGAUGUAGCGAAAGUGUUAAGUGCUCCGCCUGGGGAGUAUGGUCGCAAGGCUGAA
rnacentral:rRNA from 1 species